rnacentral:lncRNA from 1 species
CCGGCCCGGCCCGGUCCCGCACAGCUCCCCCCGGCCCCGCACAGCCCAGCCCAGCCCGGCCCGGUCCCGCACAGAUCCGCCCGGCCCCGCACAGCCCGGCCCGGUCCCGCACAGCCCAGCGUUCCCUACGUUUGUGAAGCUUUAAAAGCCAGUGCUGUGUCACUUGCCAGAAGCAGCGCUGAAAUGAGAAAUAGGAUAAAUUUUAGCAAUAAAUCAAUCACCUGGCUUCUGUUUUAACAUGGACCUCAGUGCGUUUGCAAGCACAACAUAUUCAUAUUUUGUGUAAGACUUAGUCCUAAACAACUUCCCUUGGAAGACACUAUAAUUCACCUCUCUAGAGGACAGUAUCUGUUCUGUAAAUAGGGAGAAUGCCAAAUUUCCAGGUAACACACCUAUUUCCUGGGAUUAAAUACUGCUUGCUGACAGAACGGAAAGCUUUAUUCUGUCUAUUAAACUGGGAAAAUACAAAGGAAGUCUGGGAUCUGCAUUGUAGGCACUGAGCAGUUCAGCUGACAUGAAAUUGAUGCCAACCUUAAGAAACCUGAGCUGAAACACUGUCUACAUCCCUCAGGCCACCCAACUGCCUUCAGAAUCCACUACCUGGCUGAGGAGGUAACAUCACUCACCUAUCACAAGCAAUGGUGAUAAAGAUGAGUGUUGCUG